AUUGGAGUCUACAAAAAAAGGAGAAAAAUGUAAAGUGUAGUGUCUGGACACACAUUAGAUCUCAGGCAUAUUUCCUUAUAAACAAAGGGAAAGGAACAGAUCCAGAUAGGACAACAGUAUAACAGAGGCUUUGCAAGUUCAGGGCCUGCGUAUGCACACACAAGCCACUUCAGAAAAAUGGAAUGAGGUUUGGGUAGCUCCUCCCAGCCAUCCCCAUCAUUGUCACCUGCCUGACAGAAACACGCUAAAAAAAGAACUGAACAUUUCAGUGUCAAAUUACACUGCCAUGUAAGAUUCCCAGCUUCUGCUGUAGACACCCACUCUGGAGGAAACCAGAAUAAAUUUUGCAUCUAUAAAGAGUAUUAGUCAAAUAUCUCCCCCUUUCUUGUUAAGUAACAAACAUGUAUGAUAUCCAGGGGAGGUGUCUAUGACAGGUAGAAGAAGAAACUAUUUAAAAUCAACAUAAAUGGUCCCAAGAAAGGGUUGGGUUCAGCUUCUUUCCCCUGGCCGGGUAGGGAACAUCUUGUAGUUUGUGUUUGAUCAAUGACGGGAGAGUUUUGUUCUGGCCCUUUCUGGUAGAAGCAUCUAGAAAGUGACAGGGGGGAUCUCAAUCUUGCAGUUCUGGUGGUGUUAGGAACAGGGCAGAAAGCCAGGAAGAACAGCUAACCCUUUGAACGAAAGCUUUCACCUCCGAGUUUCGGAAAGUAACCAAGUGUUCAGACACUUCAGCUUCUCGAGACACAGAUCAGUUAUUUAUUCCUCUGGCUCGGAGAGGCAAUUUUAAACCCCCUUGAAGAGCUCAAAGAUACAAACACUAAGCCUCAAACAGAAACAAUGGGUAAGUAUUAUUUGUUUUACAAAUGCAUAAAUGGAAGAUCUGGGCCCAGGGAUUGUCAGUGGCAGAGGUGGAAUUAGAAUUUAGUAGGAGAAUUCCUGCUCCUUCCCUACUUUAGCAACAAAUCAAAUUUAUGUAAAUCUUUGCUCAAGGGCAGUAGGAAAAAACAGCCUGGAAAAUCCAAGUUACUGCAGUGAUGUUGCUGUCUUUGUAGGUGGAGUCCCUGAAUCAAUACCGCAAAGGCCCUAUGCGGAUAGCUUUUUGCAGAACGCUUAAUCAGGUCCUUACCACAUGAAAUCAUAAGAUCCCAUGGCCCUUUCUGUAAUAGGAUUCCAAUUUACAUAACUUUCAUCUUACUUAAAUUCACUAUGUAGAUUCAACCAGUAAGUUAUGCAUUUCCUUCUCUAAUUUUUGUACUAGGGUGUUGUGAGAAAAAACCCAAAACAUAUACCAUCCAUAAAGUGGCUGAAUUUCAGUGGUAAGUGAAAUUGUACCUUUUUAAUCCUUCAUUCCAAAGCUCCUAAACUGUUAGAAAUAAGGAUAAUAAAGGUACAAUAAAAACCUUCCAGAUUUUAGAACAAGCAGCAUGGUAAACAAAGAUCUAUUUUGGUGAACCACCACUAAAAAAAAAGUUAGAUUUCUUCUUGUUUCCAGGGUAGAGCAAAACUAAUUUUUGUUUAAUACUGAAAUAAAGAAAUUACAAUUUUAAGAACUUUUUUUUUAAAAGGAACUUUGAAGACUUAGUAACUCAUACACUUUCUUAUACUGCCAUCACCACAAGCAUUACAUACUAGACUCAAAUGCCAGUAAAGAGACAAGGUGGAUGAUGUAAUAUCUUUUAUUGGACCAACUUCUGUUGGAGAGAGAGACAAGCUUUUGAGCUACACAUAGGUCUUCUUUCCCACACCUGAAGAAGAGCUCUGUGUAGCUUGAAAGCAUCUUUCACCAACAAAAGUUGGUUCAAUGAAAGAUAUUACCUAAUCCAUCUUGUCUCUCAUAUCCUGGAACCAAUACGUUUACAACACUGCAAGUUACAAUUAAAGACAUUCCAAAUCCAUCUUAGUAUUUUAUACCUUUUAAAAUUCAGACUGCAGGGAUGAACAAAGUUUUUUUUCAAUGGCAGGGGCCUUGGAAGCAUUUACACACUUAGCAUCUUACACUUUCUACAAAUUUAGUACUAUUGAAUUUGCACUAGUGGUUUAGUAUUCCAAGAGAUUUUUUUGCAGAAUCAUGUUAGACUGUGUCGUAACCUCCAGGGGAAGGCAUGGGACAGGAGCGCUCCUCAUCACUACUUCAUUGUGAAGGAUGGACUAGAAAAGGGAGGGUGACCAUUAACAGGAGGAUAAUGGGCUGUUUGCCAGCAACAAAGCCACUACCUCAGAUGAAGCAGGAAACUCCCUGUAUAUGGAAAAAUACACCGAAGCCCAAACAAAAUGAGUGUAGGAAUACCAUGGAACUAGUAUUGACAGAAUUCCUCCCAUCGCUGCAAGUCUUUACCUUCAGGGAAGAACCAGUCUGC